CCUGUUUAACAAAAACAUGUCUUUUUGAGUUAUUUUUAAAGUCUGACCUGCCCACUGAAAUUAUUUGAAUGGCCGCAGUAUUUUAACUGUGCAAAGGUAGCAUAAUCAUUAGUCUUUUAAUUGAAGGCUGGUAUGAACGGUUGGACGAGGUAUAAGCUGUUUCGUAUAAAUUUAUAGUAGAAUUUUAUAUUUUAGUUAAAAAGCUAAAAUUAAAUUAAAAGACGAGAAGACCCUAUAAAUCUUUAUAUUUUAUAUUAUUUCAAUUUUUUGGGUUUAUUUUAUUUUAAUUAGUUUAAAUUAUUUUGUUGGGGUGAUAAUAAAAUUUAAUGAACUUUUAAUUAUUAAAAAUCAUUAAUUUAUGAAUUAUUGAUCUAUUAAUAAUGAUUAUAAGAUUAAGUUACUUUAGGGAUAACAGCGUAAUUUUUUUGGAGAGUUCAUAUCGAUAAAAAAGUUUGCGACCUCGAUGUUGGAUUAAGAUAUAUUUUAGGUGUAGCUGCUUAAAU
rnacentral:rRNA from 1 species